CCUACGGGAGGCAGCAGUGGGGAAUAUUGCACAAUUGGGGAAACCCUGAUGCAGCGACGCCGCGUGAGUGAAGAAGGAUCUCGGUACGUAAAGCUCUAUCAGCAGGGAAGAAAAUGACGGUACCUGACUAAGAAGCCCCGGCUAACUACGUGCCAGCAGCCGCGGUAAUACGUAGGGGGCAAGCGUUAUCCGGAUUUACUGGGUGUAAAGGGAGCGUAGACGGCAGCACAAGUCAGGAGUGAAAUCCCCGGGCUUAACCCCGGAACUGCUUUGGAAACUGGGCGGCUGGAGUGCAGGAGGGGUAAGCGGAAUUCCUGGUGUAGCGGUGAAAUGCGUAGAGAUCAGGAGGAACACCGGUGGCGAAGGCGGCUUACUGGACUGUAACUGACGUUGAGGUGCGAAAGCGUGGGGAGCAAACAGGAUUAGAUACCCGGGUAGUC
rnacentral:rRNA from 1 species